rnacentral:rRNA from 1 species
GACGAACCGUGCGAACGUUAUUCGGAAUCACUGGGCUUAAAGGGCGCGUAGGCGGGCCGACAAGUCAGGGGUGAAAUCCUCCAGCCCAACUGGAGAAGCGCCUUUGGUACUGUCGGCCUCGAGGGGUGCAGGGGCAUGCGGAACUCAGGGUGGAGCGGUGAAAUGCGUAGAUAUCCUGAGGAACACCGGUGGCGAAGGCGGCAUCCUGGACCGACACUGACGCUGAGGAGCGAAAGCCAGGGGAGCAAACGGG